rnacentral:misc_RNA from 1 species
GAUGAAGAACGUAGCGAAAUGCGAUAAGUAGUGUGAAUUGCAGAAUUCAGUGAAUCAUCGAAUCUUUGAACGCACAUUGCGCCCGCCAGUAUUCUGGCGGGCAUGCCUGUCCGAGCGUCAUUUCAACCCUCGCGCCCAUCUGGGCUGCGGUGUUGGGGACCGGCCUGCCCCCCCGGGGCGCGCCGCCCCCCAAAUUCAGUGGCGGUCUCGCUGCAGCCUCCCUUGCGUAGUAGCACACCUCGCACCGGAGCGCAGCGCGGCCACGCCGUAAAACCCCCGACCCCCAUGAGUUUGACCUCGGAUCAGGUAGGAAUACCCGCUGAACUUAAGCAUAUCAAUAAGCGGAGGA